AUCCGACGGCUGCAUUAGGCAGUGCUGUGAUAACAAAUUAACAGCAGGAUAGCCCAAAUAGACGGAUUUUUUGACGCAUUUUUAUCAGUGCGACGAUAUCACUCGGAGCCACUUCCAGCGCCACCGGAAAAGCUCACAAGACCGCCUUAUCGUUGACUGCUUUCUCAGAAAAGUGUCGAGUUUCAUAAAAUUUAACGGUGAAAGGGAAUUUCUCGUUCUUUCGGUGGAUAAAGGCGGCGGUGUGUCGUUAGGCAUAAGUUAAUUUGCCUUCUACGCGAAAGCCGAGCUAAUGAACUAUAAAUAAGGGAGGAAUACUUGUGCCAAGUGGACACCCGCACUUACUGACCCUUCGUAAUUAAAAUCCCGUCCUAAAUCAGGACUAGGGAUGCGAUUAGACGAGGAUCGUUCCUGUUCCGUCAGCUUACCACCAAAUCCGCCGCGGCCCUUACGUAUGAGCGCUCAUCUCUCUCCCUCGGUUCUUACACGCGUGUAUGUAUUUGCAGCAGCUUACUUUACUACAAAUGUAAAGCUUCCGAAGAUACGAAUUUAAGAAAAAGAAGAAAAAAACACGGAGAGAAAUCGCAAUUUAAUACAAGUUUCCAUGCAUAACACGCGAUAAAACGAGGGAGAGUCGAGAAGAAAAUUUGUCUGAAAGGUAUAAGGGUUGCCCAUAUAAAAAAAUUAAUAUUGUAUAUAUAAUACAAUACGAGGGGUGUCCAUGUAAAAAAAAAUAUAUAUGUAUAUAUACAUGUGUAUGCCAAUAAAUGUGGAUACUACCA